rnacentral:rRNA from 1 species
GCCACGGCUAACUACGUGCCAGCAGCCGCGGUAAUACGUAGGUGGCAAGCGUUAUCCGGAAUUAUUGGGCGUAAAGGGUGCGCAGGCGGUUGGUUAAGUUUAAGGUGAAAGCGUGGGGCUCAACCCCAUAUAGCCUUAGAAACUGGUCAACUAGAGUGCAGAAGAGGGUAGUGGAAUUUCAUGUGUAGCGGUAAAAUGCGUAGAUAUAUGAAGGAACACCAGUGGCGAAGGCGGCUACCUGGUCUGUAACUGACGCUCAUGCACGAAAGCGUGGGGAGCAAAUAGGAUUAGAUACCCUAGUAGUCCACGCCGUAAACGAUGAAUACUAAGUGUUGGGGAAACUCAGUGCUGCAGUUAACGCAAUAAGUAUUCCGCCUGGGGAGUAUGCACGCA